UAGAGUUUGAUCAUGGCUCAGGAUGAACGCUAGCGACAGGCUUAACACAUGCAAGUCGAGGGGCAGCGGGGAGGUAGCAAUACUUCCGCCGGCGACCGGCGCACGGGUGAGUAACACGUAUGGAACCUGCCCGUAGCAGGGGGAUAAACGGAAGAAAUUCCGUCUAAUACCGCGUAAUAACUCCGAGAGGCAUCUCAUGGAGUUUAAAGGGUAACACCGGCUACGGAUGGCCAUGCGGCGCAUUAGCUAGUUGGCGGGGUAACGGCCCACCAAGGCGACGAUGCGUAGGGGUUCUGAGAGGAAGGUCCCCCACACUGGUACUGAGACACGGACCAGACUCCUACGGGAGGCAGCAGUGAGGAAUAUUGGUCAAUGGGCGCGAGCCUGAACCAGCCAAGUCGCGUGAGGGAAGACGGUCCUAUGGAUUGUAAACCUCUUUUGUCGGGGAGCAAAAGACGCCACGUGUGGCGUUCCGAGAGUACCCGAAGAAAAAGCAUCGGCUAACUCCGUGCCAGCAGCCGCGGUAAUACGGAGGAUGCGAGCGUUAUCCGGAUUUAUUGGGUUUAAAGGGUGCGCAGGCGGAAGAUCAAGUCAGCGGUAAAAUUGAGAGGCUCAACCUCUUCGAGCCGUUGAAACUGGUUUUCUUGAGUGAGCGAGAAGUAUGCGGAAUGCGUGGUGUAGCGGUGAAAUGCAUAGAUAUCACGCAGAACUCCGAUUGCGAAGGCAGCAUACCGGCGCUCAACUGACGCUCAUGCACGAAAGUGUGGGUAUCGAACAGGAUUAGAUACCCUGGUAGUCCACACAGUAAACGAUGAAUACUAAUUGUUCGGGGAGAAUGAUCCCUGAGUGAUACAGCGAAAGCGUUAAGUAUUCCACCUGGGGA
rnacentral:rRNA from 1 species